AGGAGGAAAUUCCAAAGGCGAGAGACGAAUCUGCCAACCGGAACACCGGUGGUGAAGGCAGCUCACCAGGACAGGAUGUGGACCUGCGUGAGCCCGAGCCACGCCCCCCGGGGCUCGUCCGAUAGCUUAACAUCCUUCUCCGCAUUUUCGCCACGCCGUCCCAGCUCGGCCGCCGACCAGAAGCGGAGCUGAACCCGUAAAAGGGGACUGAGGGCGGAGCGAGCACGUGGUUGCCAAGGCAACUGGAGGGCUGGGCCGCCGACUCGCCAGAGGCGGAGUCGUGAAAGGGCGGCUGGCGGCUGCGGCUAAGCACCUGUCCCAUUCAACGUCGUCGGCCGCCGCACUUUCGCGACUGCGACCCAACACACCUUACCUUUCCUUAGCGUUGCUCCAGCCAUUCCCGGAGGCUAGCGGCUGUCCAGUCCCUACACCUUUAUCUGGGCUCCUCUCCUACUCGGCCCAGCUCCACCAGAUUCAGCCCUUGGAUAACCACCCCACCACCUAGCAAAUAUGACUCCGUCCACGUGGAUAUACUUAAAACAAAAAACAAACAAAAAAAAAACAGGAGUCGAAUUUUCCUGGGAUAAUUGGUUCUUUAGCAGGAGGGGAGCAUUGGGGAGUGUACCUUCAGGGUGGUUGAAUUUUGCAAUCUCGUCAAUAAACAACUUCUCUGCAA